GGAUUAAAUCCAGGACCUUCGUAUUGAUCAACAUCCCCAGCCCUGUUUUAAUACGGCACUCAUAGGAUAAGUAUAUAUACAGUGCAACAGAUUUGAUCCAGAAGUAAACUUAUUGCUAUAGUCAAUUUACUUUUGAUAAGGGUGCCAAGACAACUCAGUGGGAGAAGAAAUAGAUUUCAGCAAAUGCUUCUAGGAUUAUUGGAUAUCUGCAUGCAAAAGAAGGCACCUUGAUCCCUGCAUUACACUACUGUGUACAAAAAUUAAAUGAAAAUGGAUCAAAGACCUAAAUGAAUCGAACUCAAGACCUUGCACUUGCCAGGCAGGCACUUGUGCAGCUGAGCUAUAUCCCUGGUCCCCUUACGGCAGUUUCCGCAGCUUCACUUCCUGCCUGUCCUCUUUCAGGGCCCAGCAAAAGGGUCCAGUCACCUGCAGAGAACCGCUGAGGACGCUCUUGAUCACGAAGACAUAUAUGCCUCUGAGAAGAGCUUAGCUUGGAAAUCUGAGGGCUUUUAUUAUUGAGGGAAAAAAAAAUCCCAGUUAUCUUAGAGGAACAUAAAUUAUCCAUUGCGGAGACUUACGGAAUUUUAGCAUGAAAAUACUGAGUGGAAUUUGUGUGGACUCGACAAGCUUCUCCUCUAUAAUCAGCUAAACCAUUUUAUUUCAGAUAGUAACAAACUGAAAAAUGUAGUAAUUUUCAUGUUUGAAGGGGAAAAGGCAUUUAGCACAGCUUGAAGAUUCAAAUUAUUCUGGAAACAACGUGCUUUACUUGGCUUUAAUUUGAGCUUGAGCUCUUCCACACAGGUUUAGACUCCAGCCUCCCGACAGCUGCUGCCAUCACACGGGCCUGUGGACGGCUGGGUGUCGGGCAUGGAGCCCUGUCUGCCCUUCCUUUAUCCUCCUCUGCCUGCUUCCUUCCUUCCAGUAUGCCUCAUAUAGCAACCCCAGUCCAGGAAGUACUCGUCUUUAGUCAGUCUGUGGAAGGUAUUUAUUCAUCACUAGCCAGGAACAAAUAGAUAGAUAGUGUCACUCUUACUCAUAUUUAGAUGUUUAAAUUCUUUUAGUAGAAUGUUGGGUCCUUUGAUUCCAUUAAGAGAGCCCGAGAGCAGAUAGGACAGCGUCAAGUAAUUAUUAAAGGUGAGCAUAGAAGGCAGAUCCCCCUCAGCUUCAAGCACCUGAAAGAGAGCAUAAAGAACCCCUGAGUAGAAUCUGAGGAAAUCUAUGUGGAAAUUUAGCUUUGCUUUAGGCAGUCUCAUGGUUUCAUAGAGUGACUCUCCACAAUUCUGUGUCAUCAGCUGCUUUCUUGUCAUAAAUUCUGUAUUUUAAAAAUUUUAAGUGUUACUCACUUUAAAUCCAACCUUUCCUUUGGCCUUCCCAUCUGGGUAGUGACUUAUAUCUGAGACUUUGGGGUCACACACCAGUCUCCUUCUUGUACAUCUUUCUCCCAUC